rnacentral:rRNA from 1 species
CCUACGGGAGGCAGCAGUGGGGAAUAUUGGACAAUGGGGGCAACCCUGAUCCAGCCAUGCCGCGUGUGUGAAGAAGGCCCUCGGGUUGUAAAGCACUUUCAGUGAGGAAGAACGCCUGGUGGUUAAUACCCAUCAGGAAAGACAUCACUCACAGAAGAAGCACCGGCUAACUCCGUGCCAGCAGCCGCGGUAAUACGGAGGGUGCGAGCGUUAAUCGGAAUUACUGGGCGUAAAGCGCGCGUAGGUGGCUUGAUAAGCCGGUUGUGAAAGCCCCGGGCUCAACCUGGGAACGGCAUCCGGAACUGUCAAGCUAGAGUGCAGGAGAGGAAGGUAGAAUUCCCGGUGUAGCGGUGAAAUGCGUAGAGAUCGGGAGGAAUACCAGUGGCGAAGGCGGCCUUCUGGGCUGACACUGACACUGAGGUGCGAAAGCGUGGGUAGCAAACAGGAUUAGAUACCCCGGUAGUC